CCUUCUCUCCCCACUCCUCCUCUAGGCAGAACCCAGUGGGUGAGCCUCAAAAUCAAGUUGCUGUUCAAGAGAUUUGCCAAGCUGAAUGGCUUCACCGACAAGACAAUCUGGAUUUUGCCAGGCAGGAGGAAUGCAGUCUUGGUGAACCGUAGGUGAGUUGCCGCAGUGCAAAAUGGUGUUUGCAAUGUUCUCUCCUGGAAAUUGACCUUCUUGGUGCCCCCAAGGCAAGGGCCACCAAGAACUCUUUGAAUUCCUCUGGGGUUGAGCUGUUUGAGCUGGUGCUGGAGCUUGCACACAGGUAGGACCAUUCCUUUGGAUACUGCUCUACAGCAGGGACCCCCAGGUAGCAGUUCCCAGGACUCCCAAGGAACAGUGUCCAGACACCCCCAGUGGGAAGUGCCUGGCACUGGAUAUUCCUUAGGGCUUUCUGGGUUUAGGCACCUACUCAGCAAUGGUGGCAUCCUGCAGCAAGGAGCUUCACUCCUGAGCAGCUGCCUCUGCUCUCCCUUUUGCUUGUCAUGCUGAUUCCAUCUUCAGCUGCUCAGCCAGGGGCCGUGGGAGCAUACCAGGGCUGGUGGGGACCAGGCUGGUGCAAUGGGGAUCAGCCCAGACACCAGGGUCCCAAAAACUGAUGGGAGAGAGCAGAAGGGUGUUGGGGCAAAGGAAGUGCUUGGACAGCCUUUGAUGGCUGAGGAGCAGUUUGAGACCAGCAGCUGAUGGCUGCUGGUGAUGCAAGAUCAUCUCUUCGAUUCAUGCUCCUUAUGCUGUUCUAGAUCUUAAAUCUUUGACAAGCCUCCUUGUCCUCCCAGCCUCCCCUCUCACUCUUCUCUCCUUGCCCUGGCCAUGUCCCUGCUGGGGCUGCAUGGCCAGACCUGGACCUCCAUCUCCUGGCAAAGGUGGGGGUACAACUGAGAUUUACAUGGAGCCUUGUCCUUUUCUCUGAUCUUCUAAUAUCUCCUCAUGCUGCCCCCUCUGGCACUCACUGCACGUGGAUGAGAUGUUUUACCUGAUAUCUGUCAGUCAGAACAGUGACCCCUCUGGGUAACUUUCUUCUCUUUCUCUUAGCCACUCUUGGGUGACCAAGUACUGGGACAGGCUGCCCCAAGGGGUUCUGGAGUCAACUCUGGAGGAGCUCAAAAUAUGUCUGGACACAAUCCUGAGUGACUGCUCUGGGGGACUCUGCUUGAGAAAGGAGGUUGGACUGGAUGACCUUCCGGCCUGAAUUAUUCUGUGAUUUAUCUUAGUGAGAUCUUCCCUAACCUAUGCCAGCUUGUCCCCUGCAAGCUUUGAUAGACUUGCCAGGUGACAUGGGGAUGUCCAACACCUAUGUCUUGUUGACUCCUCCAGAGAGGUGUAUUUCUGAGGUGUGAUUUUUCCUGCACACAAGUUGCAUUCAGUCUGCCCUGUGUCAUAGUUUGCCAAGACAUCAACUAAAUCCAGCAUUUAUUGCAGCUUUUGUGAGUAUCUUCUACAUUGUGAGGGGACCUACUUAUCUGUUGUCCCUCUGACCACCUCUGCAGAGCCUGCUACAUUCUCUUCUUAUCAUCUGGUGAAAACUAGAAGGCACCAAAGGGAGUGUAAGUGGCAGAUGGGGGUGCUGCCGUGAUGUUUGAGUUAUUUUGUCUGGAAAUGUCAUCUCCUCCGUCUUACUCACUUGUCCUUGUCCAUUGGCAGGACAGAACUUCAGAAGUGUUUGUGGAGGAGAUUGUCCAUUCUGAGGAUCCACCAGAGCUCCUUCUUGGCCAAGGUGGAUGCAGGGUUUCUUCAUUUUUCUUUGAAUUUAACCAGCUACUUUCAAAUAUUUUCUAGUAUAAAUUCCUGCUGCCAGAGCCUUUGAAGAAAGUGCAGCUGUCAUAUCUCAAAGCAGAGGAGCAAGGUGCCAGAUGCUGGUGUCUUUGUUGUUUGUCUUACAUUGUUGCCUUCAGCUGUCUUCACUCUACCUUCUUCCUCACAUUGGUGCAAGGAGACAGGAAUGGGACACUACUCAGGGACAGAAGUCAUUCCCCUGCUCCAGCAUAGGGUCCCUCCCAUGAACUUCUGAAAUGUCUUCAGGUCCCUGCCAGAAUCCUGCUCCACCAUGGGCUUGCUAUAGGGUCACAGCCUCCUCUCAGGCAUCUCCCUGCUCCAGCAUAGGCUCCUCCAAGAGCUGCAGGUGGAUCUCUGCACUCCUAUGGCAUCCUUGGG